rnacentral:rRNA from 1 species
GAUGAACGCUGGCGGCGUGCCUAAUACAUGCAAGUCGAGCGAACAGACGAGGAGCUUGCUCCUCUGACGUUAGCGGCGGACGGGUGAGUAACACGUGGAUAACCUACCUAUAAGACUGGGAUAACUUCGGGAAACCGGAGCUAAUACCGGAUAAUAUAUUGAACCGCAUGGUUCAAUAGUGAAAGACGGUUUUGCUGUCACUUAUAGAUGGAUCCGCGCCGCAUAAGCUAGUUGGUAAGGUAACGGCUUACCAAGGCAACGAUGCGUAGCCGACCUGAGAGGGUGAUCGGCCACACUGGAACUGAGACACGGUCCAGACUCCUACGGGAGGCAGCAGUAGGGAAUCUUCCGCAAAGGGCGAAAGCCUGACGGAGCAACGCCGCGUGAGUGAUGAAGGUCUUCGGAUCGUAAAACUCUGUUAUUAGGGAAGAACAAAUGUGUAAGUAACUAUGCACGUCUUGACGGUACCUAAUCAGAAAGCCACGGCUAACUACGUG